AGAAAUUUAGGAUAACAUUAGACCAAGAGCCUUCAAAGCUCCAAGUAGGAGUGAAAAUCUUCUAAUUUCUG
rnacentral:tRNA from 2 species